rnacentral:tRNA from 1 species
GCGGGAAUAACUCAACGGUAGAGUGCAACCUUCCCAAGGUUGAGGCUGCGGGUUCAAAUCCCGUUUCCCGCUCCA